AGUGAACGCUGCGGUAGGCCUAACCCAUGCAAGUCGAACGGCAGCACAGUAAGAGCUUGCUCUUACGGGUGGCGAGUGGCGGACGGGUGAGGAAUACGUCGGAAUCUACUUUUUCGUGGGGGAUAACGUAGGGAAACUUACGCUAAUACCGCAUACGACCUACGGGUGAAAGCAGGGGAUCUUCGGACCUUGCGCGAUUGAAUGAGCCGAUGUCGGAUUAGCUAGUUGGCGGGGUAAAGGCCCACCAAGGCGACGAUCCGUAGCUGGUCUGAGAGGAUGAUCAGCCACACUGGAACUGAGACACGGUCCAGACUCCUACGGGAGGCAGCAGUGGGGAAUAUUGGACAAUGGGCGCAAGCCUGAUCCAGCCAUACCGCGUGGGUGAAGAAGGCCUUCGGGUUGUAAAGCCCUGUUGUUGGGAAAGAAAAGCAGCAGGUUAAUACCCCGCUGUUCUGACGGUACCCAAAGAAUAAGCGCCGGCUAACUUCGUG
rnacentral:rRNA from 1 species